rnacentral:tRNA from 1 species
GGCCUCGUAACUCAGCUGGUAGAGCGUGCGCCGUACAAAAGCGUAGGCAGUGUUCAUGCGUGGGUUCAAAUCUCACUGGGGCUA